AGGAUUUCUGGCAUUGAAGAGGCACUAAAGUUGGAUGUGGAAAAGCAUUUAGAUCUCUCUGGUGUUCCCUUCGAAGAGAUUCUGAACCCAGGCCAGUUCCAUAUGAGAGAGGAACAAGCAUGCACAGGCAACUGCAGUUUUCGAACUUGUGAGAUUUAACGAUAGGCAUGGCAAGUGGAAAAGAUCACACACAGAUCUCACACAUUGCGCUUCCUGAACAAACAGAAGCUAGUGUCAGCUCCACCACAUGCACAUUUUUGUUGCUUCCUGGUUGUGAUGUCAUCCCGCCGGUAUCGUUGUGUUUCUCCAUUGGCUGGAUUACACACAAGAUUCAGAGCAUGGACAAAGAGAUCCCAAAGCGUUGUUGACACAGCUUGAGUUCCUAAAAGGUAACCAUACUGACGCUGAGUUGUUGGCUGAAAACUGUGUUUUCAGCUUUACAGAGUAGGUUUUUUUGCCAAACUGAUCUCCUUUGUUAGUUUUAUCCCCAUUUCUGUAAGCAACCUCUUUGGCAUAACCAAGCUGUUUGAGGUUCCCAGUAAACCACGGUUUAUCAUUAUUGAAUGAUAAGAAUGACCUGGUCUGCUUUAUUAGUCCAUCUUUUAAUAGUCCUUAGUACAGGUUUAGCUGAUUUUAGUUUCUGCCUGUAGGUUGGUAUGAGAUUAACCAGAGAGCCUUAAAGCUGCUCAUGGGACAGAGUGAUAUGCAUCCUUUAUUUGGGUGUAACAGUGAUCCAAGAUAUAACUGUCUCUGGUGGGACAUGUAAUGUGCUGUCUGUAUUUU